ensembl:lncRNA
CUUGAUUUAAUAUUAACGAGACUUGCAAUGUUACAACAAAUUAAGGUCGAUCAGUGGGUCAGUUUCAGGUUCUUCUGUGAAACUUGAAGACAGGUGAUUCAUUUCCUUGUGCUGUUGUGACAUCCAAUGAAAUUGAAACAGAGACAGACAUGACGAGCUAGUUACGCUAAAUAAUACAUUCUAAAUUAAAUACAUAACGUUUUAUUAACAAGUAUCAAAACUUUUGGAGUUUUUAGAUUUGCAGUGAGACUAGGUCACCUGAUUUUUGUGUGUGAGUCCCUCUUCUUACACUAAUGAUGAUAAUGCAGAAGCUGGAGGAGACGCUGCUUAACCCAGAUAGCAGUGCAGAGGAGAAGACUUACACUCUGCGAGAAGAUGAGGAGGAGUUCAACAACACAUGAGUUCCUGCCCGCAUCCGUGAGAUCAUCACCAGAAGCCUGGCUGAUUCGCCCACAGGUACUCUAAACUCUGAAUGAGCUCAUGAUGGGUCUGCUGGGAUAUCAGGGGAGAACAAAUGUAUGUCAUUUGCUGUCAUGCUGUUUCUCUGGUGACAUAUCAGGCGAGCGCAGCGAGGUGGAGGAGAACCGGCUGCCGAGGGAUCUGCUUUCUCAGAUGUGCACAGACAGAGACCAGCUGCUCAGCAGGCAUGCUGCUCUCACUAGCUGGGAAAUAAAUCGGUCCGAAGACCAAACCGAGAGGGAUGCCUUACACAGCGAGAUCAGCAGUCUGCAACAGUUACUGUACAACAUUAAUCAGGUGGUCAGUGGUGACAGUUCCUCAGACACAUCAAAAGAUGAACACCCAUCUGUUUCUGCAGGAUCAAUUUCCUCUUCUCAAUGA